GGGGAAUAUUGCACAAUGGGCGAAAGCCUGAUGCAGCGACGCCGCGUGAGGGAUGGAGGCCUUCGGGUUGUAAACCUCUUUCGCUCAUGGUCAAGCCGCAGCUUUGGGUUGUGGUGAGGGUAGUGGGUAAAGAAGCGCCGGCUAACUACGUGCCAGCAGCCGCGGUAAUACGUAGGGCGCGAGCGUUGUCCGGAAUUAUUGGGCGUAAAGGGCUUGUAGGCGGUUGGUCGCGUCUGCCGUGAAAUCCUCUGGCUUAACUGGGGGCGUGCGGUGGGUACGGGCUGACUUGAGUGCGGUAGGGGAGACUGGAACUCCUGGUGUAGCGGUGGAAUGCGCAGAUAUCAGGAAGAACACCGGUGGCGAAGGCGGGUCUCUGGGCCGUUACUGACGCUGAGGAGCGAAAGCGUGGGGAGCGAACAGGAUUAGAUACCCUGGUAGUCCACGCUGUAAACGUUGGGCACUAGGUGUGGGGGCCACCCGUGGUUUCUGCGCCGUAGCUAACGCUUUAAGUGCCCCGCCUGGGGAGUACGGCCGCAAGGCUA
rnacentral:rRNA from 1 species